UGGAGCAGCUGGUAGCUCGUCGGGCUCAUAACCCGAAGGUCGUAGGUUCAAGUCCUGC
rnacentral:tRNA from 1 species